rnacentral:rRNA from 1 species
AGAUUGAACGCUGGCGGCAGGCCUAACACAUGCAAGUCGAGCGGUAGAGAGGUGCUUGCAUCUCUUGAGAGCGGCGGACGGGUGAGUAAUGCCUAGGAAUCUGCCUAGUGGUGGGGGAUAACGUUCGGAAACGGACGCUAAUACCGCAUACGUCCUACGGGAGAAAGCGGGGGACCUUCGGGCCUCGCGCCAUUAGAUGAGCCUAGGUCGGAUUAGCUAGUCGGUGAGGUAAUGGCUCACCAAGGCGACGAUCCGUAACUGGUCUGAGAGGAUGAUCAGUCACACUGGAACUGAGACACGGUCCAGACUCCUACGGGAGCAGCAGUGGGGAAUAUUGGACAAU